rnacentral:rRNA from 1 species
UUACAAAGGGGGGUGACUCCCUUUCCCCCUCUGGUCUUCCUCUUUCUCCUCCUCGAAACCUUCCUCCCCGCGUACAGCACUGUGGAUCGGCUGGCGCUUUAUGGCGGAAAGGGUGGAUCUAGAAAGAAGGGUGAAAGCAGGUGGCUGUUUGCCAGAUGGUGAAAACCGGAUGGCCGGUCGUUUGUGGAAGCCUGGAAUCUUUUUCCCCCUUGCUGUCGUGGUGCUUCCGUACCCUCGGUGUCAGCGGGAGGAGGUCGAAAAUCAAAAUAAAAAAACGUGUCAUGAUUAAGAGGGACGGCCGGGGGCAUUCGUACCGCGGCGCGAGAGGUGAAAUUCUAGGACCGUCGCGAGACGAACGAUAGCGAAAGCAUUUGCCAAGAAUGUUUUCCUUAAUCAAGAACGAAAGUCGGAGGUUCGAAGGCGAUCAGAUACCGCCCUAGUUCCGACCUUAAACCAUGCCGUCCGACCGCCCGCCAGGGUUACUACCGCGACUCGGCGGGCGGUGACUUUCCACCGGGAAACCCUUAAGCUUUCGGGUUCCGGGGGAAGUACGGUCGCAAAGCUGAAACUUAAAGGAAUUGACGGAAGGGCACCACCAGGAGUGGAGCCUGCGGCUUAAUUUGACUCAACACGGGGAACCUCACCCGGCCCGGACACCGCGAGGAUUGACAGAUCGAUAGCUCUUUCUCGAUCCGGUGGGUGGUGGUGCAUGGCCGUUCUUAGUUGGUGGAGCGAUCUGUCUGGUUAAUUCCGAUAACGAACGAGACUCUAGCCGGUUAAGUAGCCCGAGUGGCGUGUUGUUGAUUAAAAAACCGCCCUAGCGGCUUUCGGGGCACUUCUUGGAAGUUGUCUGGCUUUAACGGUGGUGGGACAGGGAGGUGGAAGACGACGGUCGGUGCCGCGUGUGUCGUGGCUCGGAUCUAGUUUUUUUAACUUCUCUUAAAUCCUGUCGCGUUUCGGCCUUUCACUUCUGAGGAUCUCUGUUUGCUUACCUAGGGUAGAUAAAACGUUAACGAGAGUCGGGGGCAGUGGACGUUACUUGUGGAAUGGGUGGGCGUCUCUUCAUGGGGCGUCUCCCUUCCCUGUUUCGCUUUUCUGCUGUCCUCGUCAUCUCGCGCCACCGGCUUUCGAGUGCAAAAGCUUCUUAGAGGGACGAGCGGCGUUCAGCCGCGCGAGAUUGAGCGAUAAC